GCAGGGAGCAGUGGCGAGGCGCAGGGGCUAGAGUUGAGGAGGAGGGGGGCGAGACGCCGGCCGGAGUCAAGGAGGAGGAGGGCCGCAGAAUCGAGGGGAGGGCCAACGGUGGCAACAGAGUUCCUAGAGGAGCAGGUCAGUGGUUACUUCGUGGAGUUCGACGACGACAGCUUCGACGUUUAGCCAGCAGAUUCCAGAGCAGGGUUCUGUGAACUUGUGGCGGGCUCUCCUUCCAGUUUCGGCCUCUUAGGCAAUAAAUGUAACUUGUCCGUACUCGGGCCUAAUUUGCUUCCGCUGGUAUAAUGAUGAUUGUGGACAUGUGUCCGUGAGUUGUAAUAACUUGGUAUUUCGCUCCUUGUAUGAGCUUGACUUAAUCUUGUGUUUUAGAGUGAUGUAAUGUUAUCAUUUUUGUUCCAACCUGCGAUGAA